rnacentral:rRNA from 1 species
AACGAACGCUGGCGGCAGGCUUAACACAUGCAAGUCGAGCGCCCCGCAAGGGGAGCGGCAGACGGGUGAGUAACGCGUGGGAACAUACCCUUUGGUUCGGAAUAACUCAGGGAAACUUGAGCUAAUACCGGAUACGUCCGUAAGGAGAAAGAUUUAUCGCCAAAGGAUUGGCCCGCGUCCGAUUAGCUAGUUGGUGAGGUAACGGCUCACCAAGGCUACGAUCGGUAGCUGGUCUGAGAGGAUGAUCAGCCACAUUGGGACUGAGACACGGCCCAAACUCCUACGGGAGGCAGCAGUGGGGAAUAUUGGACAAUGGGCGCAAGCCUGAUCCAGCCAUGCCGCGUGAGUGAUGAAGGCCUUAGGGUUGUAAAGCUCUUUUGUCCGGGAAGAUAAUGACUGUACCGGAAGAAUAAGCCCCGGCUAACUUCGUGCCAGCAGCCGCGGUAAUCUGAGUCGGAG